AAGCUAGCAGAUGGACAGACUGCUGUGUCCUUGUGAUCUUGUACUCAAAAGGAAGUUCAGAAAAGCCAAACUUAGAGAGCUGGAGCCAGCUUUUGGGAAGCAUG